rnacentral:rRNA from 1 species
AGAGUUUGAUCAUGGCUCAGGAUGAACGCUGGCGGCGUGCCUAACACAUGCAAGUCGAGCGAUUCACUUCGGUGAAGAGCGGCGGACGGGUGAGUAACGCGUGGGUAACCUGCCUCAUACACAUGGAUAACAUACCGAAAGGUAUGCUAAUACAAGAUGAUAUAAGAGAUUCGCAUGGAUUUCUUAUCAAAGCUCCGGCGGUAUGAGAUGGACCCGCGUCUGAUUAGCUAGUUGGUAAGGUAACGGCUUACCAAGGCGACGAUCAGUAGCCGACCUGAGAGGGUGAUCGGCCACAUUGGAACUGAGACACGGUCCAAACUCCUACGGGAGGCAGCAGUGGGGAAUAUUGCACAAUGGGCGAAAGCCUGAUGCAGCAACGCCGCGUGAGCGAUGAAGGCCUUCGGGUCGUAAAGCUCUGUCCUCAAGGAAGAUAAUGACGGUACUUGAGGAGGAAGCCCCGGCUAACUACGUGCCAGCAGCCGCGGUAAUACGUAGGGGGCUAGCGUUAUCCGGAUUUACUGGGCGUAAAGGGUGCGUAGGUGGUUUCUUAAGUCAGGAGUGAAAGGCUACGGCUUAACCGUAGUAAGCUCUUGAAACUGGGAAACUUGAGUGCAGGAGAGGAAAGUGGAAUUCCUAGUGUAGCGGUGAAAUGCGUAGAUAUUAGGAGGAACACCAGUAGCGAAGGCGGCUUUCUGGACUGUAACUGACACUGAGGCACGAAAGCGUGGGGAGCAAACAGGAUUAGAUACCCUGGUAGUCCACGCCGUAAACGAUGAGUACUAGGUGUCGGGGGUUACCCCCCCCGGUGCCGCAGCUAACGCAUUAAGUACUCCGCCUGGGGAGUACGCUCGCAAGAGUGAAACUCAAAGGAAUUGACGG